rnacentral:rRNA from 1 species
GAUGAACGCUAGCUACAGGCUUAACACAUGCAAGUCGAGGGGAAACGACAUCGAAAGCUUGCUUUUGAUGGGCGUCGACCGGCGCACGGGUGAGUAACGCGUAUCCAACCUGCCCACCACUUGGGGAUAACCUUGCGAAAGUAAGACUGAUACCCAAUGAUAUCUCUAGAAGACAUCUGAAAGAGAUUAAAGAUUUAUCGGUGAUGGAUGGGGAUGCGUCUGAUUAGCUUGUUGGCGGGGUAACGGCCCACCAAGGCAACGAUCAGUAGGGGUUCUGAGAGGAAGGUCCCCCACAUUGGAACUGAGACACGGUCCAAACUCCUACGGGAGGCAGCAGUGAGGAAUAUUGAUCAAUGGACGAGAGUCUGAACCAGCCAAGUAGCGUGCAGGAAGACGGCCCUAUGGGUUGUAAACUGCUUUUAUAAGGGAAUAAAGUGAGUCUCGUGAGACUUUUUGCAUGUACCUUAUGAAUAAGGACCGGCUAAUUCCGUG